rnacentral:sRNA from 2 species
GCAACACCUUGUUCGGUGAGGCUUCUGCAUGGACACAGGCCACUGACCUUCCCUGUCGAAAGACACCCCAGGUCAGGACAGGUCUCCCCGGAUUAAGGGGUGACCCCAAGUGGCUGCCCCCAGGGCUACGCCGUGCAGUGCCAAAGCUCUGACGAGGAGGUGUUCG